AAAAAUAAACAGUGUGAGUUUACUAUUAAAGUGGAUGUCUUGUUUCUCCAGGAAUGAGCUUAAAAAACACAUGAGCUACUGUGACUAGGUGGCCACUUGAUUAGGUGUAUGUGUUAGUUUUAUGUUCUGUAACAUGUUAGCCGUAGGCAGUAUUUUUGGACCGAGACUUGCUCCUGUUGUUUGUUUCAGAUAUUCAGUUUAAGAUCUAAAUUUCACCAAUAUGUCUUUUGUUUACCUUUCCUGAUGUGUUUUAGAUGAACAGAAUCACUUGUGUUUAUAUGGAUAGUAGCUACUUUUACUUCAGCACAUAAAGAACGAAAUCUGUAUGAGUAUUUUUUAAAGCAUUUCUACAUAAGCAAAACAUAUCAAGGGGCAGUAUGCUGGAAUAAAAUCAUAUAUACAAAUUUGUUUCUAGAGCAAGGAUGAAAAGCACUCCAUACACACUCACAAGGAUGAUGAUCCAUCUGUUUCUAGGAUGGUGGGACUUGAGGUCAAACUGCACAGGUUUACAUUCAACUUCGCUUGUUGAUAUUUCUGACAUAUACUUGAUGGAAUAUACAUAAAUAUGUGUUCUUUCUUAUAGGUAUGCACCAGAUUCAAGGAUCAGCUACUUGAUGAAAUAUACAGGAGACUCUCCUACUCAACAUUACCUUAAAAAAAGAAUCAAGGAUCAGUUCAAUGGGAAUUGGAAUGAUAAAAACACUUGUUUGAGCACAUCU
rnacentral:lncRNA from 1 species